GAGAUCAGAAGCGAGAAUGUUGACAUGAGUAGCGACAAACAGGGUGAGAAACCCUGUCGCCGAAAGUCCAAGGGUUCCUGCUUAAAGCUAAUCUGAGCAGGGUAAGCCGGCCCCUAAGGCGAGGCCGAAAGGCGUAGUCGAUGGGAACCAGGUUAAUAUUCCUGGGCCAGUGGGAUGUGACGGAUCGCGGAUGUAGUUUGCCCUUAUCGGAUUGGGUGGGCUGCUGAGCGGUUCCAGGAAAUAGCCCCACACCAGACCGUACCCUAAACCGACACAGGUGGACUGGUAGAGUAUACCAAGGCGCUUGAGAGAACCACGUUAAAGGAACUCGGCAAAAUGCCUCCGUAAGUUCGCGAGAAGGAGGCCCCAUAUGUACGCAAGUAUGUGUGGGGGGCACAAACUAGGGGGUGGCGACUGUUUACUUAAAACGCAGGGCUGUGCGAAGCCGUAAGGCGACGUAUACAGUCUGACGCCUGCCCGGUGCUGGAAGAUUAAGAGGAGGGGUGCAAGCUCUGAAUUGAAGUCCCAGUAAACGGCGGCCGUAACUAUAACGGUCCUAAGGUAGCGAAAUUCCUUGUCGGGUAAGUUCCGACCUGCACGAAUGGCGUAACGAUCUCCUCGCUGUCUCUAACGUGGACUCAGCGAAAUUGAACUGUGUGUCAAGAUGCACACUACCCGCGGUUAGACGGAAAGACCCCAUGAACCUUUACUCCAGCUUUGCACUGGUAUCAGGAUUGUGAUGUGCAGGAUAGGUGGUAGGCAUUGAAGCGGGGACGCCAGUCUUCGUGGAGCCUCCCUUGAGAUACCACCCUUCGCCAUCUUGAUAUCUAACCGCGGCCCGUUAUCCGGGUCCGGGACCCUGCAUGGUGGGGAGUUUGACUGGGGCGGUCGCCUCCCAAACAGUAACGGAGGCGCGCGAUGGUUGGCUCAGACCGGUCGGAAAUCGGUCGUUGAGUGCAAUGGCAGAAGCCAGCCUGACUGCAAGACUGACAAGUCGAGCAGAGACGAAAGUCGGUCAUAGUGAUCCGGUGGUCCCAAGUGGGAGGGCCAUCGCUCAACGGAUAAAAGGUACUCUGGGGAUAACAGGCUGAUGAUGCCCAAGAGUCCAUAUCGACGGCAUCGUUUGGCACCUCGAUGUCGGCUCAUCUCAUCCUGGGGCUGGAGCAGGUCCCAAGGGUAUGGCUGUUCGCCAUUUAAAGAGGUACGUGAGCUGGGUUUAGAACGUCGUGAUACAGUUCGGUCCCUAUCUGCCGUGGGUGCAGGAGACUUGAGAAGAGUUGACCCUAGUACGAGAGGACCGGGUUGAACGAACCACUGGUGGACCAGUUAUCGUGCCAACGGUAGUGCUGGGUAGCUAUGUUCGGACAGGAUAACCACUGAAGGCAUCUAAGCGGGAAGCCCCCUUCAAAACAAGGUCUCCCUUGAGGGCCGUGGAAGACGACCACGUCGAUAGGCCAGAGGUGUAAGUGCAGCAAUGCAUUCAGCUGACUGGUACUAAUUGCCC
rnacentral:rRNA from 1 species